AAUCAUAACGAGACACGGCAGGAGUAACACAACACUGACGGGAGACUAUCAAAGUAAAACAGGAAGCACACAGAGACGCAGACCAGAUUGGAAGAGAACACAGACAUAGCGGGCUGGGAAAACAUGGAAUAAAACACAAGGAGGAGAAACGAGGCAUGGGGGCUGGCAGAUACACAGAGGGGGCACACAGGGGGUAAAGUCACGAGGGGAAAUCAAAUAAGCAACAUCUUAACAGAACAACCGAGGGACCCUAAAGCUGACAUCAAACAACAACAAUACAAGACACACAAAAAACCAGGUAGAAGUCCCAGGACCAUGACAUGCAGGUGGUUACAUAUGGUUAAAAUGAUUCAAAUGCACUAAGUAUGCAUGUUUUUCAUAUCAAUAUAGUCCAUAACUUGAUUACUGUCUGUAGCCCACAUGAUUAAACACUUUAGUUACAUAAAACAUGUGAGGUUAGAUUUUAUCUACUGUAUAGCCUGUAUAGUAAAUUAAUAUGUAGCCCAAUAAGUAUAAAAUCCAGAAAGCUACACAACAUGGGGCGGUUCAUUUACAAACACAGGUCUAACUUGAGUUUCACACAGUUUUUAUUAGAAAACAAUCAAAUUGUUAAAUGCUUCAAGUACACAAAAUGUCAGAAAUCUGCACCGUCAUGAACAGAAAUUUAAACCUAAUUUUUCGUGAUUUGUUGAUUAACCCUCCGAGGUCUAAAUCCCACGUUGUGCACAUCAACAUCACAGAUUUGUACAAAUAAAAGUUAUAACAAAGACAUGUUAAAUAUUAAGCACUGGAAACAGCUUGUUGUUUUGUUGCCAUAGCGUUUUGUUUUGUCUCCAUUUAAAAGAUAUCAAAAUCUGAGCAAACAACUUGAUGUCAAAAGAAUCUCUGCACAUUCCGCAGUCUUUGCUGCUAAAGUGACAUCACAGCAUUUAAGCAUGUUUGAAUGAAAACAUCAGCAUAUGAACACAAAACUGAAGAGACACUGCAACCGAAUGAAAGCAGACCACUAUUUAGUGACAUUUGGACGUUUCCCUGAGGAUUAACUGCUGUGUAAUCUACCAAGAACUAAAUCAAAAUGAGUGCAAGUGGAGACGGACCACAAAAUAACCAAAACGGCCAACAGGUUAACCCACAAAGGUUCCCAAAUGGAGAUCAGGAACCUGCUAAUGGCUUCCUGAACGAUCUGUAUCUCGCUCUCCAUGAUUUUUGUUGCUAUCUAGAUGAGCUAAUAGCUUCAGUACUGGCACAAUAUGACAAUUACCUUUACGGGGACGAAGACGAUGACGACGACGA